GAAUCUACUAAGACCCUGAUGAAAGCUUUUGACUCAGUCAGCAGUCAGUGCUCCAACAGCUAACCCGAAACUUAAGGGUUAAAAAGCUUGUUUUGUUCUUCGCUAUGUUUGGUUUCUUCUUCUUCUUCUAGUUUCUGCUAAUUAUGCAGUGGCAUUUAUUUCCACUUACUGAUUUGUUUUCGUUUUUGGAUUGGAUGUGUUGAGGAAUGGAAACUGGAAAAGUUGCCUCCAAGUGGAAUCCUUCUAACGGCGGCCUUGGCUUUAGGAGGUUUUGCUUGGCAAUCAUGACACAAGACCAUCAACCACAAGAUCUGAGGUCCAUUAUCGUCUUUUGGUGCAGUACGAGAUAAAAUACAGUGUUGCUAUCAAGCACAAUAGCCCGAAUACAGAGCAGCAGCAACAGUAACAACUCAAAAAUGUAGCUGGUUAGUACAACUCUUGAAAUAUCUAAAUCAACCUGUUGACAUGCAGUAAAAGAUGUAUCGUGGCAACCAGUCAACAAUUUGGUUGGCAGAGAAUUCAGUCUUUCAUGCACAGACGAAGUAUGUAGCAAUAAACUCUCAAUAUUCGCAUGAAAGUACAUAGCAGUGAAAUUUAGAUAAAGUGCAUUCAGACGGAAACAAAGUUGCCAAUCUGUUUACCAAAGGACUCAAUGAACACAAGCUUGAAGAAUUUUGCAAAUGACUCGGAAUGACCUUAAGGGCGAUAAUGAAAGAGAAAAGUCAUUGGGGGGAAAAAAGCUCACUGGUUUCUCUCUCUCUUUCUAGAUAUUUCUCACAAGGUCUAUCAUUUCUUAUUUCUAGAUUUUCCUAUAAUUAAAAUAAAUAAAAAAUCUAUUGCAUAACCGACUUAUGAAGCCUAUAAAUAGGCCACGCGUCUCUCGUUUAUCAAGUGUAGUGUGUAAGCAACCAAUCAAGUAAAUGUAUGUAUUUCAACUACUUUCCUUGUUGGCUUUCUUGGUAACAUUAUCUUUUUGGCAUCCAUAUUUGGUUGCAAUCAUAUUUCAUCCCCUAUAAGUUAUCGUUCUUUCAUUUUAGUCCUCCAUUAUUUGUUAUUUAAGUUAUUACAUAUAUACCCUCCAUUAGUUGCAAUCACAUUUCAUGCCAUAUAAAUUAUCGUUCUUUCAUUUUAAUCCUCCUUUAGUUGUUAUUUAAGUUGUUACAUGUAUAUAUAUUUGCUCCUUCAAUUGUUUUAACAUAGGGUAUGUUGUCUAAAACUGCAUUGGUGUUUUAUAGUGAUCAUAAAAGCUAUGAGGGUAAUUCUUACAUUCUAUAUGCAUAGAGGGUUAUGAUGUAUUUUCUCUUAUGGAUGACAGAACCAUGAUCAUUUUGUCAUGUAUUAUUUAUAGGUUCCAUAAGCAUUUCCCUUUUUUAUUGACUUUUGUAAAUAGCACGGUUAAAAUGCUGACACUUUUUUGCAGCUUUAAUUCUAAUUCAGAAGAGCAUCAACCAAGAAUCUAACACAAAGCGAUGUGAAUCACCUUUUCUAGAUGCUGCUCCACGAUAAAUCUUUUUCUACCUAUGUUUUAUAAUUGCUGAAAUCUCUGUUGUUAUUUUUUGCAACUAUAUGUUUUCAAGUUUUCAUUAAUAUGAUAGAUUUUUACUUGGUACUAUUCAUCCUUCAUUUUUUUUUCUUUCUUUUAAAGCAUUAAUAUGAUGGUUGAAUUUUUAUACUUUUGAUUCUUUUUCCAAUUAUAAAAGAUGAGAACAAAGAGAGGGUUAAACUGGAAACUCCAAGGGAGGUGCAUUCUAUUGAUCCACAUAUUUCCUUCCAUCUCUACUGUUUAUUAGGUAGCUUCUAAAGAAGGACAAGGUAAGCAGGGAAAUUCUGACUGCAAUUGCUUGAUAUGCACAGCCUGCAAUUUUGGAUAAAAUAUCCUUCUAUUAAUUUGCGGAUGAGCAAUGCGCAAGCUAGAUCAAGCACUCACUCUGAUCCUCGUCAGAAUCUUCAAUGUAUAGUCUUUGAAAGGAAACAAGGUUUGUUGUUGUUGUUGUUGUCCCCCCCAUAAACUCAUAUUACCCAGCAAUGCAUUCUCAGCUUUGAUAUUAGGAUAACUGUAAUUUUUUCUUUUGAGGGGGGUGUGGGAGGGGAACUGUUUUGGUAGAAAGUGUCCGACAACUGUUUUCUCUGUGACAUUGGAAAUAUUUUUUGGUUUUGGAUGCAAAAUUCAGGUGUCUCACGUCUGUGGUCUUUUAUCCCUUAAGUUAGUUAUCCUUUAUUCUUUCUUCACUUCUCUGUAUGAUUAUCCAGUGAUCUUAUUAAUUGCUUUCAACUAACAUGAUAUUUGAUAAUCUUCUUCUUAUGUCUGAUCAUGUUAUCUCCAAGGGGUUGCAAGCCACAACAUGAAUGCUUUUGUUUGGCUUUGACUAGACUCAGUUCAAUUUAAUUUAAGCAUUAUCAUGGGCAUAAAAGUGGAUGACAAUUGAUAAUUCAUAAUGCUUGUGUGUAAGGCAUAAGUUGAUAUGACAAUUUCAAUUCCCUUUAACACAAGCAUAUAUAGGAUGACAAAAAAGAAUCUUGACUAUGUACUACUGGUUAAAAUUUCAUUGUCAUACUCAUAAUUUCUAAGGUUGCUUCAUAAGAAGUACAACAGAUACAUAAACCCUAGCUGAGGUGGUUGUUUUCUUUUUCCUCUCUUUUGGUUACUUGUGAUGGCCGCGUUGGUUGUUUGCUUUACUUGCACAUAAUUGUAAAUAAAGAAACAUGUUUGUGGCUUCAACGUACCUUGUCUUCCUUGUUUGAUCCUUGCAUCUUUUCUGUGAGUUUUAACAAGCGAAGCAUAUACUAUGAGGGACUGAGGGCAUCUGUUCCUAAUACAUAGUGAUAAAGAAAAAUUAUUUGAAGGUGAAUUUUAUACUUUUCAAAAGAUUUGGGGAACUUGGUAAUGUCCUUUUUUUGAUGAUUUCGUUCAGUAAAGUUUGACUAGUAACUUCACCGUAAAAACUUAAAUGUUGCUAUUAGUGUUCUAAGCUGCCUGUUUGGUUUAUUCUGCAAACUCACCAACCAUUAUAUAUUUUUCUUGUCAAUAUGUUAUUGCUCAAGCUCUUAGUCCACCACUAAUAGCAGAGUUGAUUCGUAUAUUUCAUCUUAUUAUUUAUGUACCAGCUGAAUGUCAGAAACCAAGACCUACCUGCCGCCUUACAUGCUCAGGAGUCAACCUCACUGUUAAAAACCAUGAUAGAUGUUGCAUUAGUCAUAUUGGCUAAUGCACUAAACAGCAUUGUUCUUAUGUUUUACAGCUUAUUCUUUUCUUUUAUUGAAAUGUAAUGUAAUCUGUGCUUGUUCAGUUGUUAUUUUCUUUUUUAAUUUUCCCAAGUCCAUCCACAACUGUGUCAAGUAUUCCAUUUUUGAAACUAGGACAGUGCAAAGCACUUCUCAAGGGUUCUACUGCUAUGUGGAUAGAGGAGGGGAAUCUAGCAGAGAUGCCUUGUAAAAACAGUCAAUUUCUGAUAAACAUGCUUUCACCAAAGCAAGAACAGACAAACAUGCUGAGAAACCUAUCAUACGAUGUAUUUGGUCAUUUUAGCUUUUAUAUUUUCUUUUAAUUGAUAAGGAAUUGAAAGCUACUGAUUUAUUUUAAUUGAUAGGAAAUAAAAGGUGCUGAUAUGUUCUGCAGCCAUUCUUUGUGAGUUAAACUUCAAAACCUUUUUAUCAGAUCAUGUAAACCAUUACUUGGAUCAGGCUAGUUGGAGAAAGGAGUUGAAAGGAAAGGAACAACAUCAUAGCUUUCUUUUGCAUGAACUGGCAUCCUAUGGUCUUCAGGCUCUUCAUGAGCUAGUUUCUUUAGUUCAUGACCAUGUUAAUGGUUCUGAUAAAAAAUCAACCAGUUUUGUCUAAUGAAGAAAUUUUUUGAUGUGGUCUGCUGACAAAUGAGCAAAACAAAACUUUAAUGACUGAAACAUUUUCAUUUACAAGAUGAUCCAGUGACAAAAAUUGACGGGAUCCUUGAACCAGGCAUCUUUUUGGCUAUAGUUCUUGCCAUGGUGCACAACUUCCUCCUAACUUGGGAAGCUCUAAUACUGCACUUGCUUUCACCAAUGGAUGCAGAAGUCCUUACAUAUGAGAUAGAUAAGCAGAACAAGGAAGAAGAUUGGUACAUGUUGAUUUCUUUUCUUGUUUUCUGAUGUAAUUAUUCUUUUCUAAGGUAUGUAAUGGUUUUUGGCGUCACUAUGUUAUUCAUAUUCAUGGUUUUAUGAACAGACACUAUGAAGUGUUCUAUGGUGUUUUGAUAAUCUAUUUGCAGCAAUAGAUGCCAUUCUAAAUGGGAAAGAGUCAUUUGCUUGCCUGGGGAUGCUUUAACCUUGAAGAACCGUUUCUUUCAGAACAGAAUAUCAGUAGUUAUGAUUUUAUGGUUUCUGAGAUUUGAGAUGUCAUCUUUAAUGAGAUAUUCUUAUAAGAAAAACCUUUCUCCUCAAUUUCGGGUCUAACAAAUGUUUCAUUUAACUUCACUUUUCAACUGUGGGUGGGGUGGAUGGUUGGGUGGUUUGAACUGAUUGGAGGAAUAAAUGCAAUCAGCCUGAACUGCAGUUGGUUACUAAAAUCAAUCCAUCAUUGUGGUUUACUGUGAUGGGCCUAAUUGGAGUUGCAUAAAGGUUUAGAAAAUUGUUUUCAAGGUUAAAACAAAAUAGAUGCUUGCUAGGUUAAUUGUUUCCAUUCUUCCAGCAGUUAUAAUCUCUGUUGUCUAGCUUCUUCAGUUAUGAGGAAAGUGUUGAAAACCCUGUAAAUUGCGUGUUUCUUUUUGACAAAGAAGUGGUCACCAUUUGAUUCUACUUUGUACUGCUCUAGAUAGAUUAUUUCAAAUAAUGUUACUCUUGGACCAUUGUGCCUAAUCAUAUUAAUGUUUAUUUCCAUGCAUAGUCAUCAGAAUUUAGGCUCUACUGGUUAUUAUUUGGGCUGUCUUUCCUUUCUUACAGCUGGGCAGAACAAAUCCAAUUUAUUUUGAACCUUCAUCCUCCCCCGCCCCCCCCACAAAAGAAAAAAAAAAAAGAAUAGUCUUUAUCUUUCCCUAUAGCUGCACUUCUUUUCAUUUUGUUCUUUAUUCUUUUCCAUCAUUAUUUCCCUAGCAGGAGUGAGUGCCUCAUUGCUUUAGCAUGUUCUACAAUGGCACAGAUCAAAAUUAUGCAGGUUGACUGUAAAAUUCUUCCAGGCUGGUCCAAUGACAUUUUAGUGCAUACAUUUUGAAGAUUUGGAAUCUUGCUCUGAGAAAAUUGGUGAUCCAAAAUUAGUAAAUUUUGCUGAAAUCUGAUGCAUCCAACCCCAUAAUAUAUUAGAUUUAUAAACAUUGCAUUCUUAGUCUAACACUUUUAUAAUGCAGGUAUUAAAAAAUGUUAGGUUAAAUAUUUGGAGGCUGGAUUUUGAGGCACCAAAACUGUGUGUUGGGCGAGACAUUUUGACACAUUUUUCUUUAUGGAAUUGGUCCCAUGAUGAUCUCGGGAUUGUAGAUUGGUGCAUACUCAUUUCAGAAGCUUUCUGUCGCAAUCAGUACUUUUACAUGUGAGUCAUCAACAAUUUUAUAGAAUAUGAACCAUCAUUAGUGCAGCAUAUCUCAGUUAUGCUUAGAUGCUGUAUGAUUUAAAUUACAAAACUCUUUUGUUUCCUUAUCUGAAUGUUCCAUUAAGACUGUAUAGGUUGCAUAAACAACAAUUUUAGGAAGAAACUCUCGUGCAUAAACUAGAUGAAAAUGGUAAGCACAAUGUGGGUUCUGUUAAUUAGCUUGAGAUGAAUAUGUACUCAAUUGAUCCUUGAAUUGCAUUGAGGAGAAGGAAGUAGAGGUAGAGCAGUCUUCCUAUAAGUGGUAAACUACCAACACACGCAAUAAAACCAAUCUGCAUUAUUUUGUCUUUUAGAA